ensembl:antisense Gm11723 predicted gene 11723
GCGGAACCAGGAUGAGUCUCACUGCACAGUGAUCUAUCUGCCAACUGAGGAUCUCUGUGGCCCGGGAAGGAUGGCCAAGGAUGGAGGCCUGGAGGAUGUGGGGUCGUCCCUCACCUCUGCAGUAUCCCACAGAAACAGAGGAGCAGGCAGACCAUCGGGCUAAGGAGGCAAGCCUUGAACUUGAAAUCCUCCUGCUGCCUGGCCUAAGAGCAUCCCUGUUUUACACACACUCAAAGAAGCCAGGUGACUUGCCCAAGGCUGCAGGGAUUUGGACCCAGGACUCAGGCUACUGGCUCAGCGGCCUCCAGGAAUUGGGAGGUGCUGUCGCGCCACCCGCCUCGGGCGAUGCCACCGCUGCCAGAAGGUGGUCUUCACUCCCUCGGGCUCCCGCAGUUCCCUGCAGGACCGUGGUGACAGGGGGGCGCCCUUGAGUAAUCCAUCUGACAGAUGCAUCCUCCGGAGGCCC